UGAGUACGAGCUGCUACGGCAGCGAAGUGGGUGACGUCAAGCUUCCAAGAAAAGCCCUACACCCGUUAAGGCAUGAUGGCCUGUACCCGAAACCGACACAGGUAGGAUGGUAGAGAAUACCGAGGGGCGCGAGGUAACUCUCUCUAAGGAACUCGGCAAAAUGGCCCCGUAACUUCGGGAGAAGGGGUGCCACCGCAAGGUGGUCGCAGUGAAGAGGCCCAGGCGACUGUUUACCAAAAACACAGGUCUCCGCUAAGUCGCAAGACGAUGUAUGGGGGCUGACGCCUGCCCAGUGCCGGAAGGUUAAGGAAGCUGGUCAGCGCAAGCGGAGCUGGCGACUGAAGCCCCGGUGAACGGCGGCCGUAACUAUAACGGUCCUAAGGUAGCGAAAUUCCUUGUCGGGUAAGUUCCGACCCGCACGAAAGGCGUAACGAUCUGGGCGCUGUCUCGGAGAGAGGCUCGGCGAAAUAGAAUUGUCUGUGAAGAUGCGGACUACGUGCACCCGGACAGAAAGACCCUAUGAAGCUUUACUGUAGCUUGGUAUUGUGCCCGGGCUCUGAAUGCGCAGGAUAGGUGGGAGGCUUUGAUCAACAGCUUGCGGGUUGUUGUGAGCCAACGGUGAGAUACCACUCUUUCAGAGCUAGGGUUCUAACGGUCACCCGUUAUCCGGGGACCGGACAGUAUCAGGUGGGCAGUUUGACUGGGGCGGUCGCCUCCUAAAAGGUAACGGAGGCGCGCAAAGGUUUGCUCAGGCUGGUUGGAAAUCAGCCGACGAGUGUAAAAGCAGAAGCAAGCUUGACUGUGAGACCUACAAGUCGAACAGGGACGAAAGUCGGCUUUAGUGAUCCGACGGUUCUGAGUGGAAGGGCCGUCGCUCAACGGAUAAAAGUUACUCUAAGGAUAACAGGCUGAUCUCCCCCAAGAGUUCACAUCGACGGGGAGGUUUGGCACCUCGAUGUCGGCUCAUCGCAACCUGGGGCUGAAGUCGGUCCCAAGGGUUGGGCUGUUCGCCCAUUAAAGCGGUACGCGAGCUGGGUUCAGAACGUCGUGAGACAGUUCGGUCCAUAUCCGGUGCAUGCGCAGGAAUAUUGAGAGGAGUUCUCCCUAGUACGAGAGGACCGGGAGGAACGCACCUCUGGUGUACCAGUUAUCGUGCCAACGGUAAACGCUGGGUAGCCAUGUGCGGAGAGGAUAACCGCUGAAAGCAUCUAAGUGGGAAGCCCACCUCAAGAUGAGUAUUCCCAUGGCAUAAGCCAGUAAGGUCACGGGAAGAACACCCGUUGAUAGGCUCUACGUGGAAGCGCAGUAAUGCGUGAAGCGGAGGAGUACUAAUAGACCGAGGGCUUGACC
rnacentral:rRNA from 1 species